CCUACGGGUGGCAGCAGUGAGGAAUAUUGGUCAAUGGGCGAGAGCCUGAACCAGCCAAGUCGCGUGAGGGAGUACUGCCCUAUGGGUUGUAAACCUCUUUUGUCGGGGAGCAAAAGCCGGACGUGUCCGGCUGUGAGAGUACCCGAAGAAAAAGCAUCGGCUAACUCCGUGCCAGCAGCCGCGGUAAUACGGAGGAUGCGAGCGUUAUCCGGGUUUAUUGGGUUUAAAGGGUGCGCAGGCGGAUUGUUAAGUCAGCGGCAAAAUCGUGGGGCUAAACCCAAUCUUGCAGUUGAUACUGGGGUUCUAGAGUGUAGGAGAGGUAGGCGGAAUGCGUGGUGUAGCGGUGAAAUGCUUAGAUAUCACGCAGAACCCCGAUUGCGAAGGCAGCAUACCGGUCCACAACUGACGCUCAGGCACGAAAGCGUGGGUAUCGAACAGGAUUAGAUACCCCUGUAGUC
rnacentral:rRNA from 1 species